rnacentral:lncRNA from 10 species
AGUGCUGCUGCUGGAAACCAGAGUCUUCUUUUGUUUUCCCUCUCACCUCUGGCUGCCUCUCUCUCCCCUCAAAGGUCAGAGCAGUGCCAAGGACAGAAGAGAGAGUAGAUCCAGCCUUGGCCCUGCUAGGCUGGGCAGCCUGGCAGGUAGAGUCAGCAGGGAUAGAGCUUGCUUUCCUGUUCACGAUCUUCAGCCAAGUUCAGGGAGGUCUGAAUACUGAGGCCUUCAUAGCCACUGCACCCCAGGUAGCUCAGGAGAACCUCCGAGCGCAGGAGUGCAAAGGCUGGCAUUCUUCAGGCUCUGAGGCUGUCCCUUCCGGUGGAGGUGAACUGCUUCUUAUUGAUGUGGACAAGACUGUGGAUGGAGACUGACAGGAUCCUGGCUUGGGGGCCUUCCGGCAGGGCUGGCUGCUGGGCUGGCAGGCUCUGGCGCUCCCCUUCCCCAGAACUGACUUUGUUCCUGGCAGCCAUGGUGGCUGCACUAACCACAUUCUGCCUCCACCUUUGCACUAAGAAAAGCAAAUAAGCAGACCACAGAACUGUUUGCAUUUGCCCCAGAUGCUCCCUGGCUGCGGGAAGAGACACAGCAAACAGCAGUGCUGCGGAGGUAUGUCUAAUUGCAGAUACUUUUUGUUCAUCAUCGUAUUGAACGUCGUUGCGUGUUCCAGCAGCCAUCAACUUCCUCAGGAGGAAAAUUCAAUUGUGCACUGAGCGACAGCGUGAAGAGACCGGGCCAAGCAGGCAGGGUGCUGCAGGUCAACAAGGUGCUGCUGUGCUCCUGAAGCCUUCAGGAGCCUCAGCCUGAGAGCUCAGGAAAGGGUGGGGCUCCA